CCCUUAGAUGUUCUGGGCCGCACGCGCGCUACACUGUUUGAUUCAGCGAGUCUUAACCUUGACCGAAAGGUUUGGGUAAUCUUCUAAAGUCAAACGUGAUGGGGAUCGAUCAUUGCAAUUAUUGAUCGUGAACGAGGAAUUCCUAGUAAAUGCAAGUCAUCAGCUUGCGUUGAUUACGUCCCUACCCUUUGUACACACCGCCCGUCGCUACUACCGAUUGAAUGGUUUAGUGAGAUCUCCGGAUUGGCUCUGUAGGUCCCGCAAGGGAUUUAUUAGUAGCCAAGAAGCUGCUCAAACUUGAUCAUUUAGAGGAAGUAAAAGUCGUAACA
rnacentral:rRNA from 1 species